GUCGAGCGGUAACAGGGGGUGCUUGCACCCCGCUGACGAGCGGCGGACGGGUGAGUAAUGCUUAGGAAUCUGCCCAGUAGUGGGGGACAACAGUCGGAAACGGCUGCUAAUACCGCAUACGCCCUACGGGGGAAAGCAGGGGAUCUUCGGACCUUGCGCUAUUGGAUGAGCCUAAGUCGGAUUAGCUAGUUGGUGGGGUAAAGGCCUACCAAGGCGACGAUCCGUAGCUGGUCUGAGAGGAUGAUCAGCCACAUCGGGACUGAGACACGGCCCGAACUCCUACGGGAGGCAGCAGUGGGGAAUAUUGGACAAUGGGGGCAACCCUGAUCCAGCCAUGCCGCGUGUGUGAAGAAGGCUUUCGGGUUGUAAAGCACUUUCAGCGAGGAGGAAGGCCUUAAAGUUAAUACCUUUAAGGAUUGACGUUACUCGCAGAAGAAGCACCGGCUAACUCCGUGCCAGCAGCCGCGGUAAUACGGAGGGUGCAAGCGUUAAUCGGGAAUUACUGGGCGUAAAGCGCGCGUAGGUGGUUUGGUAAGCGAGAUGUGAAAGCCCCGGGCUUAACCUGGGAACGGCAUUUCGAACUGUCAGACUAGAGUGUGGUAGAGGGUAGUG
rnacentral:rRNA from 1 species